UCUCCGUUGGUGAACCAGCGGAGGGAUCAUUACUGAGUUACCGCUCUACAACCCUUUGUGAACAUACCUAACUGUUGCUUCGGCGGGCAGAGGUCCCUCGCGGAUCUCUCCCGGCAACGCCCUCACGGGCGGAGCGCCCGCCGGAGGAUACCAAACUCUAUUUUAACGACGUUUCUUCUGAGUGGCACAAGCAAAUAAUUAAAACUUUUAACAACGGAUCUCUUGGUUCUGGCAUCGAUGAAGAAUGCAGC
rnacentral:misc_RNA from 1 species